UACGAGAGGCGCAAACGUUAUUCGGAAUUACUGGGCUUAAAGAGUUCGUAGGCGGCGCAGAAAGUAGGGUGUGAAAGCCCUCGGCUCAACCGAGGAAUUGCGCUCUAAACUACUGUGCUUGAGGGACCUAGAGGUGAGCGGAACUGAUGGUGGAGCGGUGAAAUGCGUUGAUAUCAUCAGGAACACCGGAGGCGAAGGCGGCUCACUGGGGGUCUUCUGACGCUGAGGAGCGAAAGCCAGGGGAGCGAACGGG
rnacentral:rRNA from 1 species